GAUGAACGCUGGCGGCGUGCCUAAUACAUGCAAGUCGAGCGAACAGGCGAGGAGCUUGCUCCUCUGACAUUAGCGGCGGACGGGUGAGUAACACGUGGAUAACCUACCUAUAAGACUGGGAUAACUUCGGGAAACCGGAGCUAAUACCGGAUAAUAUAUUGAACCGCAUGGUUCAAUAGUGAAAGACGGUUUUGCUGUAACUUAUAGAUGGAUCCGCGCCGCAUUAGCUAGUUGGUAAGGUAACGGCUUACCAAGGCGACGAUGCGUAGCCGACCUGAGAGGGUGAUCGGCCACACUGGAACUGAGACACGGUCCAGACUCCUACGGGAGGCAGCAGUAGGGAAUCUUCCGCAAUGGGCGAAAGCCUGACGGAGCAACGCCGCGUGAGUGAUGAAGGUCUUCGGAUCGUAAAACUCUGUUAUUAGGGAAGAACAAAUGUGUAAGUAACUAUGCACGUCUUGACGGUACCUAAUCAGAAAGCCACGGCUAACUACGUG
rnacentral:rRNA from 1 species